GAAUAAAAGUCGUCUUCAAAACUACCAAGUCCAAAAUGAAAGUUGGCCAUGGUUCAUUCACCUUGGUACCGGUAACGGCUUCCACAUGUCCGGUUGGACAGCCCUGUGUCCCUGAAUAUCUAGUGGCUGUGACUACGGUGCUCAAAUUACUGCCCUUUUGGCCAAUUUAUUCCACUUUCAAUAGUUUAUGAUCUUUGCUCAAACGUCGAUGUCCUGUGCCAAUUUCCACGGCCUUGACAUUUUAUAUUAGCUGAUGGAUUUUGUUUUCCGUUUCCUUAGUGACGGUUCACUUGCUCAUGUCUCCUCUCUCAUAUGUGGUAUGAAAUAGCUCGGCCUUCAACCUUUCUAGAGUGCCACAAAUUAAUCAAUGUCCCACACAACUAAUGGUUGAUAUUAUAUAAAAUAUUUGAAUUGAACAAUACUCCGCAAUAAUAAAAUAGAUAUCAGCAUACAAUCAAACUACACGGAAACAAUUAAGAUAAUGUGGAUUUUGCUAGAGGUUUUCUGAUUCAUUCUUUAUCCAUUUAUUGUAAUGGUAUUAAAAGCUGUCCCAGCCGGUGUGUUUGGUUAAUCUUUGGUGUUUUGUUGAGCGCAGUGUGUCAGUUUAGUUACCUCCCUUAAUAGAGUUCAAGAUCUAUAACGUUUAACAGAUAAAUGCAUCAGACGAUUCAAUAGUGUAAAUAAUAGUAUAAUAAUAAAUGAAUAGUACGAGUAAAUAGAUAAAUAAUAAUAAUAUGAAUAUAACUACCUAAGGAUAAAAACCGGAAAGGUAUGUGGUUGUUGGACUUCUUUCCUAAUCCAAGAUUGUGGGCAGAGGAUAUGCAAUUGUUAGAUUUCCUUCCUAACCUAAGAUUGUAAGAAAAUUGCAGUCACUUAAUGCUAACAGCAAUAUAGUAAGAGAUUGCCGCAGAGAUUAACUAAUACCCUGGAGAAAAGUAUCUCGGAACUGCAAUCGCAGUUGCACUUGAUUUUUGUGAUUCUUUUUACUACUCUGAGGAUGUUUUCAUGCAAACUUUAUCUGACCUCCGGUGUUACCCCAUUUUUGUUUAAAAUAGAAAUUCUUAAUAUGAACAGUGUUCUGUGAAAAGAGGGUUUAAUACAUGGGAGUAACGCGUUGUCCCAGAUUUGUUGUGCAAUCCGUACUUUGUUUUUUAUAAUGUUGUAUAUAGAGUGCUUUGCUCACUCAGGGAUGGGUUCUUUUAUUUUCCAUGAAUCUAUGGGAAAGUGCUUUUUUCCAUUUCUUAUUUUUAUCUAACUGUCUGAGGACCACUGUUAUAUGAACAGCAUGGCUGCCAUUGGCUGGACGAGUUUUUUUCCAUUCUUCGGUUUUUACUUAACAGUUCGGCAAUUGAGUAUGCCAUGUAUUAAUUCUAAUUAUGGGAUGGAUUUCUAGAAAUAUACCCCAUAUUAAGACGAAACUUCGUUUAUACAAAAAAAAGAAACAAUAAUAAUGAAUAAUAUUCAAUAUACAAUUCUACCAUAUAGAAACUUGAAAGCACUAGAUGCAAAUAUUAUAAUAUAUGGAUAAUUUAAUCCGAAUACACAUACGGUUACUACAGAAAGAUAAAUAAAAAUAAAAUGUAUAUAUAUAAGUUAUAAAAGUUGUCCUUUAGAAAAAACGGUUUAGUGCACUUGUAUUUCUAAUUUGUGGACGAAAGCCAUUUAGCAUUUUACAUGCAUACUUGUAAUUGGUGGAAUUCCUUUUUAUUUUUUAUGCAACCGUGCUUGACGACCACGGUUGCAGCACUUCUUAAGUGCUCAGAUUUUCUUGUAAUUGUUGGACUUAAAGCCGACCCGUAUUUUUAUGAUAUGUUAAACUGUCGUGAUGAAACUUCGGAUAGCUUCAAAAAAUGGUUACCAACCGCUAGAAUGCAGUGGUUCUUGAUUGCCCCGUUAGGUUAAGGCACCCCUGUGCCUACGGGAAGGGGUCUUUUGAUCCAUUUGAGUCUGUCUCUGGUUCUUGAUUGCCCCGUUAGGUUAAGGCACCCCUGUGCCUACGGGAAGGGGUCUUUUGAUCCAUUUGAGUCUGUCUCUGGUUCUUGAUUGCCCCGUUAGGUUAAGGCACCCCUGUGCCUACGGGAAGGGGUCUUUUGAUCCAUUUGAGUCUGUCUCUUCUGCCUUGGGUGCGACCAUAUGGCUCCUAGGAUGGGUGGUGGCCCAAGAAGAGAAAAGUGGGAGGAGUGUUGUGCCGGGCACCAGUCGCUUGCGAAGAGGGAACUGGCCGCUGCAAGCAUGAUUGGUGGAAGUUAGCCGAGGCACGAGGAAUGCGUUCCAAAAGAUCGAGGCGCGGGACGAGAUUCUCGCUCUCUUCUUGCUGGACUGCGGCCGAGAAAGGUUGUUUCUGACUGUGCGAAGAAUACUAAGAAGAACGUCACGUUUCAGCAUAACGUCGUACCGGCCUCUUCACGAGGUCAUUGAGGUCCGACCUGAGUGCACCUCCCUUAAGUCCAACGAAAUCACCUUAAAAAUGGCGUCAUAGCAGACGAGUUUCCGUGGUUGUCGUUAUUUUUCGACCAAAAAUCCAUCCCAAAGAAUGGCCAGACGUUUUAUUCACAGGGUAGAUUUACUAGACAGUCUACAAAAUUCUGAACUUAUUGAACGCUACCGUUUGGACAGACAGGGGAUUUUAUUUCUGAGAUUUCUGACUGAAUGACCUACUUACUCCUGUAAUUGCACCAACAAACAACAGAAACAAUAGUUUGAACAGUAUCGAAAAAAUUCUCAGUUCAUUACGAUAUUUUGCGACAUCUACCAUUCAACUAUGAUGGUGAUGUCCAUGAGGUUUCUCAACCCACAGUUUCACGGGUUAUUACACUGGUUACUGAUGUGUUGACAGAGCCUGAGAUUGUAAGACAAUUCAUAAAUCUACCAACUGCUGCGGGAGAAAUCCGCCAAAUAAAGGAGGAUUUCUACAAUAUUGCGAGAUUUCCAAAUGUAAUUGGGGUAAUAGAUGGCACACAUGUCCAAAUACAAGUCCCACAUGUGGAUGAACUGGCGUAUGUCAACCGGAUGGGAUAUCAUUCCUUAAACACUCAGGGAGAUCAUGUUUGAUGCCAAUUGUCUAAUUAGAGACAUUGUAUCACGAUGGCCUGGUGCUGUCCAUGAUGCCAGAAUACUCAGGCAAAGCGGCUUACAUCAAAUCAUGGAGCAGAACAUUGUUCAUGACCAACACCAAUAUCUCCUGGGAGAUUGAGGUUAUCCGUGCAAGAGAUGGCUUCUGACUCCAUUCAUGAAUCCGGCUGAUGAGCACCAGCUGAUUACAACAGGGCACACAAACGUACGAGAUCUGUGGUUGAGCGUUCCAUAGGGAUUUUGAAAAGGAGAUGGGCGAUUCUGCACAAUGAAAUGAGAUUGCAUCCAUUAAAGUCAUGCAAGGUGAGAACAUAUGCAGCAUGCGAAAUCUGCCAAUGGAUCCUUUGGACAAAGAUGCCUUACCAGAUCAUCCUGAAAAUUACCAUGGAAAUGAAGAUGGACUUUGUUAAAGGAAUGUAGUAGCACAUACAUUUUUUUAGAUCAUAGGUGUCGUGAUCUGAGAAAACUAGGCAUAAUGCAUGUGCGUAAAGUGUCAUCCCAGAUUAGCCUGUGCAGUCCACACAAGCUAAUCAGGGACGACACUUUACGCCUAAAUUGGAUUUUUGCUAAGAAGAGACUUCAUUUAAACCAAAAAUGUAAAAGCGAUAAGUGUCGUCCCUGAUUAGCCUGUGUGGACUACACAGGCUUAUCUGGGACGACACUUGACCCACAUGCAUUAUGCCCAGUUUUGUCAGAACGCGACUCAUAUUCACAUUGAAUAAGUCAUGUUUUCAGACCUGUUAAUGCAAAUGACUUGCAUUUUUAAUUGAAGCAACUAUUUAAGCUUUUAGAGCAUUUUAAACUUACUAAAGUUACUGUAUACAAUUUUUCCAAAAAUCAUAAGAAAUACACAAUGAAGAUGAAUUUCAUGUAACUUUAAUAUAACUAAACUAUAUCUUCAUAACAAAAUAAUAACAAAUAACAAAAUAAUCUAUUCCUCAUCAAAUCGCGCCAACUGGGCCUCAAACAAUUGUAUUUGAAGCUCCAGCUUCCUCUUCUUCAAGGCAUUAAGUUCAUGUAGACUGCAAUGACUGCAACUAAAUGGAUAUUAAAAACAUGGUAUAAUUAUUUAAUUUUUAUUUCAUUUUCAAAAACAGUAAAUAUUUUAAUGGCUUCUUUUUUGUAUAAUGAAAAAUGGUAAAUAAUGAUAACACUUCAGGUUCAGUCAAAUGAUAACACUUUAGGUUCAGUCAUCCAUAUUAUGCACAUGUUUCUGUUAUCUAGAUCCUUGUGUAGAAUAAUUUAUUAUAUUUUAAAAUGCAUAACAUACAUACCAUGAAGGUGAAGGUUUAUCUGGAGGAGAAAUAGUUGCGCUUCUAUAGCCAUUCUCAUCCAUCGAUGGUGUAUAUCUGAAAUAAGUGCAUCAUGUCUAAAGGCAGAUGUAUUUACCAUUACAAUUUUUGAUAUUCAAGAUAUGUUUGUAUUAUAUUAAAAUGUAAAUAAUGCAUUCGUCUAAUAGCGAGUGUUUUUUUUUGCAAAUUAUAUGCAUGUACAUGUAUAUAUAUAUACAAUUUCUGUUUAUGAAAUUGCAUGUAAGUUAAUUGCAAUAAUAAUGUUUUCAUAAUUAAUGCCUCACCUUCUUUUCUGAUUAAAGGAAACUGAUUUUGACAUGGCAGCACUAAAAUUAAAUAAUAUUAAAUAUUAAUUAUAGACCUAUUCAAAAUGUCAUUUCACUUUUAAACAUGUACAAAAAUCAUGUGUGCAUUAUUUCAUUUUGUAUGGCCCCGGAUCGAUAGAUCGGGGUAUAUUGUUUUUUUUCCUGUCUGUCUGUCAUUCUGUCCCAAAACUUUAACCUUGGGUAAAGUUGGAUAACUUUUGCAAUAUUGGACAUAGCAGCUUGAUAUUUACCAUGCAUGUGUAUCUCAUGGAGCUGCUCAUUUUGAGUGGUGAUCCUUGCAAGGACCAUAUUAAUUUGACAGAAUCACUCAGCAAUGUUCAAAGUAGUAAUAUUCAACAUAAACUUGUUUAAUUAUUUGAAUAUUGACUUGUCACCACUCAAAAUGAGCAGCUCCAUUAGAUACACAUGCAUGGUAAAUCAUGGGGGCAUUGUGUUUCUGACAAACACAUAUCUUGAUUAAUUGUCUUAUAAGUUCAAGCUAUCAUCAAUUGUGAAUUUGAAUGAUUACCUUGAGGUACACAUGGUCAUGUUGUUUUCAGCAUCUUGCUGCUCAUCAUCACUGUAAGCAUAUUGACAAUAUGUUUGUUUUUUUAAAUCAACAUCAUUUGUUUCAAUAAUUCAAAAUUGUUGUUACAUUGUAAUUGUUUAUUUAUGCAAUUGUUACUUGUAUAUGAAUUGUCAAAAUAUUGUGUUUAACAUGCACGUUCAUUACUUUACCUGUUGACAUGUUUAGAUAAGAGAAUUUAUAAAUUGAAGUGUAUUGGUUGUCUUAAUUGUUCCAUUUAUUAAGUAAUUACAUCAUUUGUGGUUAUGCAUAUAUGUUGAAAAAGUCACUGUCAUGAUUUAUUUAUUUUAAAUAAAUGAAUUUAAAAACAAAACAAAUAAAUUGUUCAAACACAAGACAACAUUA